GUAGCUGAACUUUCUGCUGCUCAAGAGGAGUUGGCACUUUCUAAGUCACUAGUGUUGGAUUCGGAGCAAAGGCUUAAUUCAAAAGAAGCUCUUAUUAAUGAACUGACUGAAGAGUUGAACCUGCAAAAGGCUUCAGAAUCCAAGGUGAAGGAAGAUAUCUCAACUCUUGAGAAUAUUUUUACUGCAACUAAAGAAGAUCUUCAAGCAAAGGUUUCUGAGUUGGAAGAUAUGAAGCUGAAACUGGACGAGCAAGUGAAAGCAAGGGAAUUGGUUGAAGCUGGGCUGAAGGCCCAACAAGAACAGGUCUCGAUUGUACAGGAAGAAUUAAGUAAAGUACUAAAGGAAAAAGAAGAUCAGAUGGCCUCCCUGAAGGAAGAAGUGAAGGGCCUGAAUGAGAAGGUUGCUGAAAAUCAGAAGGUCGAUGAAGUACUUCAAAGCACAAUAGCUGAACUUUCUGCUGCUCGGGAGGAGUUGGCACUUUCUAAAUCACUAGUAUUGGAUUGGGAGCAAAGGCUUAAUUCAAAAGAAGCUCUUAUUAAUGAACUGACUGAAGAGUUGGACCUAAAAAGGGCUUCAGAAUCCAAGGUGAAGGAAGAUAUCUCAACUCUCGAGAAUAUUUUUACUGCAACUAAAGAAGAUCUUCAAGCAAAGGUUUCUGAGUUGGAAGAUAUGAAGCUGAAACUGGACGAGGAAGUGAAAGCAAGGGAAUUGGUUGAAGCUGGGCUGAAGGCCCAACAAGAACAGGUCUCGAUUGUACAGGAAGAAUCAAGUAAAGUACUAAAGGAAAAAGAAGAUCAGAUGGCCUCCCUGAAGGAAGAAGUGAAGGGCCUGAAUGAGAAGGUUGCUGAAAGUCAGAAGGUCGAUGAAGCACUUCAAAGCACAAUAGCUGAACUUUCUGCUGCUCGGGAGGAGUUGGCACUUUCUAAAUCACUAGUACUGAAUUUGGAGAAAAGACUAAAUUCAAAAGGAGCUCUUAUUAAUGAACUGACUGAAGAGUUGGACCUGAAAAAGGCUUCAGAAUCCAAGGUGAAGGAAGAUAUCUCAACUCUUGAGAAUAUUUUUACUGCAACUAAAGAAGAUCUUCAAGCAAAGGUUUCUGAGUUGGAAGUUAUCAAGCAUAAACUAGACGAGGAAGUGAAAGCAAGGGAAUUGGUUGAAGCUGGGCUGAAGGCCCAACAAGAACAGGUCUCGAUUGUACGGGAAGAAUCAAGUAAAGUACUAAAAGAAAAAGAAGAUCGGAUGGCCUCCCUGAAGGAAGAAGUGAAGGGCCUGUAUGAGAAGGUUGCUGAAAAUCAGAAGGUCAAUGAAGCACUUCAAAGCAGAAUAGCUGAACUUUCUGCAGCUCAGGAGGAGUUGGCACUUUCUAAAUCACUAGUACUGAAUUUGGAGGAAAGACUUAAUUCAAAGGAAGCUCUUGUUAAUGAACUGACUGAAGAGUUGGACCUGAAAAAGGCUUCAGAAUCCAAGGUGAAGGAAGAUAUCUCAACUCUUGAGAAUAUUUUUACUGCAACUAAAGAAGAUCUUCAAGCAAAGGUUUCUGAGUUGGAAGUUAUCAAGCAUAAACUAGA
rnacentral:lncRNA from 1 species